AAGACCUCGCGCUAUUGGAGCGGCCGAUGUCCGAUUAGCUAGUUGGUGAGGUAAUGGCCCACCAAGGCAACGAUCGGUAGCUGGUCUGAGAGGAUGAUCAGCCACACUGGGACUGAGACACGGCCCAGACUCCUACGGGAGGCAGCAGUGGGGAAUUUCGGACAAUGGGCGCAAGCCUGAUCCAGCCAUGCCGCGUGAGUGAAGAAGGCCUUCGGGUUGUAAAGCUCUUUCGGCCGGAACGAAAUCGUCCGGGCUAAUACCCCGGAUGGAUGACGGUACCGGAAGAAGAAGCACCGGCUAACUACGUGCCAGCAGCCGCGGUAAUACGUAGGGUGCAGGCGUUAAUCGGAAUUACUGGGCGUAAAGCGUGCGCAGGCGGCUUCCUAAGUCAGAUGUGAAAUCCCCGGGCUUAACCUGGGAACU
rnacentral:rRNA from 1 species